rnacentral:rRNA from 1 species
AUGAGUCUCCUCUGCUGGAACUGUCAUGUUGUGGGUAAUCCCACGAUAGUUCAUGAGCUUCGUGCUCUCGCGAAGAAGUUUACCCUGACCGUACUUUGUAUAGUUGAAACACAAAUUGAUAGGGUACAUGUUGAAAAUUUAAAAGGAGAGCUAGGCUACAAUAAGAGUUAUGUUGUUUCUAGUGAUGGUAGAAGUGGAGGUCUAGGGUUGUUUUGGAAUGAUGAAAUAAAUUCGCAAGUUUCGGGCUACUCAAAAUAUCAUAUAGAUGCUAUGGUGAACAAUGCAGGGGCUACUCCUUGGAGGCUAGCAUGCAUAUAUGGAGAGGCCCAGGUACAAGAACGAUAUAAAACUUGGGAUAAAAUGAGGGAACUGGUAGGGCAUUCCAUGAAGGAAAUAUGCCCUAGAGGCAAUAAUAAAGUUAUUAUUUAUUUCCUUAUAAUUAUGAUAAAUGUUUAUUAUUCAUGCUAG